UCUCUCUCUCUCUCUCUCUCUCUCCGAAUACUAGAAUACGAUCCGAUUUCCAGACCCUCUCUCUCUCCGAAUACGGCCUUCCCCCUCACGCAGCUUCGCCUCCACCUCCUCCCAUCACGCAAUUUAGCCACCACCUCACUCUACCUGCGCCAGCCAAUCGCCAAUCCCUAACGACCCAACAUCAAUUACUGCUUCCUCCCGCCUGUCUUUUAAGAGAGAGACAGUUACGGAUUAUAUAGAUUAUUAUCGUGUAGAGACAAAUUGUUGACUAACUCUUAUAAUAGGCACAAUCUGGUAAAGAGAUAUCAAAAUCAACUCUUGCGCAACGUGCCCGACGAGAAUGAGAACGAAUUCUAAAACAAAAACACUGCGGUCAGUGGAAAGGAAAACUCACAGCACAGGUGGCUUUUGAUAAAGAGGGUCAGUUUGGAUGCUGGUGUGUAUUUGUCAGAAACUGAAAUAUUUCUUUUUGUCACCAUUUCGCACGAUUAAAGGGGAGUGCACACCAUUUCUCUCAUGGAAGUUUGACUGUAAGUAUAAGUAAGAUCCUUGAAACACACAAACAAACAACAAGAUAUAUACGUGGUUCCCUAAAAUCGGGUACUUUAGGUUGUCCAUGAGUUUCCCUAUCUAUUCUUGAACUUCAUUUUGAUUUUUCUUUUUCAGAUCCUUAAGAAAUUGGUGGCACAUUAAUUAGCGAAAAAGAAGUUUCCAAUGUCCAAAUUUCUCAUUUUUCGAUUGCAGGUAGUAGGAAAUGGAGAAAGAAAUGGCGUGGACACCAUUGAAUAGGCAUGAUUAAGUGGCAGCAUCGACGCCAUAAAGCGGUAGAGGUCUGGCCUUGAAUACUUUUCGAGGUAUGCUUUCACUUCUAUUUUAAA